GACGAACGCUAGCUACAGGCUUAACACAUGCAAGUCGAGGGGCAGCACAGUGUAGCAAUACACGGGUGGCGACCGGCGCACGGGUGCGUAACGCGUAUCCAACCUUCCCGUUACUCAGGGAUAGCCUUCCGAAAGGGAGAUUAAUACCUGAUGGUGUUCAAAUUCCGCAUGUUAUUUGAACUAAAGAUUUAUCGGUAACGGAUGGGGAUGCGUGACAUUAGGUAGAUGGCGGGGUAACGGCCCACCAUGCCUACGAUGUCUAGGGGUUCUGAGAGGAAGGUCCCCCACACUGGAACUGAGACACGGUCCAGACUCCUACGGGAGGCAGCAGUGGGGAAUAUUGGGCAAUGGGGGAAACCCUGACCCAGCAACGCCGCGUGAAGGAAGAAGGCCUUCGGGUUGUAAACUUCUUUUAGCAGGGACGAAGAACGUGACGGUACCUGCAGAAAAAGCAACGGCUAACUACGUG
rnacentral:rRNA from 1 species